rnacentral:rRNA from 1 species
GAUGAACGCUGACAGAAUGCUUAACACAUGCAAGUCUUUGGCGAAGCUGUGCUUGCACAGCCUAGCCAAGGCGGACGGGUGAGUAACGCGUAAGGAACUUGCCCUGCAGUCAGGGAUAACAGACGGAAACGACUGAUAAGACCUGGUAAAGUCAGGCGGACUCAUGUCCAGCCUGAUGAAAAGAGAUGCUGCAGGAGAGCCUUGCGUCCUAUUAGCUUGUUGGUGGGGUAACGGCCCACCAAGGCGAUGAUAGGUAGCCGGCCUGAGAGGGUGGACGGCCACAAGGGGACUGAGAUACGGCCCUUACUCCUACGGGAGGCAGCGGGGGGGAAUAUUGGACAAAGGGGGCAACCCUGAUCCAGCAAUUCUGUGUGCACGAUGAAGGUUUUCGGAUUGUAAAGUGCUUUCAGCAGGGAAGAAAAAAAUGACGGUACCUGCAGAAGAAGCGACGGCUAAAUACGUG